UGAAUACGAGACGCUAAGGCGUCGAAGUAGUGUAUGUCAUACUUCCAAGAAAAGCUUGCACUGUCAUAGAUAAAAAACGCCUGUACCAUAACCGACACAGGUGGGUAGGUAGAGUAUACUAAGGGGCGCGAGAUAACUCUCUCUAAGGAACUCGGCAAAAUAACUCCGUAACUUCGGGAGAAGGAGUGCCUUAUUUAUAAGGCUGCAAUAACAAGAUCCAAGCAACUGUUUAUCAAAAACACAGGUCUCCGCUAAGUCGUAAGACGAUGUAUGGGGGCUGACGCCUGCCCAGUGCCAGAAGGUUAAAGAAGUUGGUUAGCUUUUGCGAAGCUGAUAACUGAAGCCCUGGUGAACGGCGGCCGUAACUAUAACGGUCCUAAGGUAGCGAAAUUCCUUGUCGGGUAAGUUCCGACCCGCACGAAAGGCGUAAUGAUUUGGAUACUGUCUCGGAGAGGGGCUCGGUGAAAUAGACUUGUCUGUGAAGAUGCGGACUACCUGCACCAGGACAGAAAGACCCUAUGAAGCUUUACUGUAACUUGAAAUUGAAAUUGGACUUUAUUCGCGCAGCAUAGGUGGGAGGCGUUGAUUAUAAUCUCGUGGGAUUAUUGGAGCCAUCAGUGAGAUACCACUCUUGUAAUGUUAGAUUUCUAACUUUGAAUCAUUAUCUGGUCAAAGAACAGUUUCAGGCAGGCAGUUUGACUGGGGCGGUCGCCUCCUAAACGGUAACGGAGGCGUACGAAGGUUUCCUCUGAACGGUUAGAAAUCGUAUCUAGAGUGUAAAGGCAUAAGGAAGCUUGACUGUGAGACCUACAAGUCGAGCAGGGACGAAAGUCGGUCUUAGUGAUCCGACGGUACUGAGUGGAAAGGCCGUCACUCAACGGAUAAAAGUUACUCUAAGGAUAACAGGCUGAUCUCCCCCAAGAGUUCACAUCGACGGGGAGGUUUGGCACCUCGAUGUCGGCUCAUCGCAUCCUGGGGCGGUAGUACGUCCCAAGGGUUGGGCUGUUCGCCCAUGAAAGCGGUACGCGAGCUGGGUUCAGAACGUCGUGAGACAGUUCGGUCCAUAUCCGGUGUAGGCGUUAGAAUAUUGGGAGGAGCCUUCUUUAGUACGAGAGGACCGAGAAGGACAUACCUCUGGUGUACCAGUUAUCGUGCCAACGGUAAACGCUGGGUAGCUAUGUAUGGAGUGGAUAACCGCUGAAAGCAUCUAAGUGGGAAGCCCACCUCAAGAUAU
rnacentral:rRNA from 1 species